AAAAGCAAACAGGGGUGGGGAGGGCAAAAUCGAGGAGGUACGCUCCCUUUCUCCUCCCCACCCCUAGCUCCAAAAAUGUCCAACCCUGAGCUCUUCCUUUUCCCUUCUAUCUGCUCCUGGCUUCCCUCUGCUCCCGUUCUUUCUCCCUCCCUUUGGAUGUCUGCGAACCCGGCGCGGUUGAGGUGUGUGUGUGUGUGUGUGUGUGUGUGUGUGUGUGUGUGUUAGGGAGAAAGCCGUGGAUGGUAGAGGAAAGCACCUCUCACCUCCCCCAGCCCGGGCCGAAGCCACACACACCCCCAGCUCUCGGCAGGGGCGGGCGGGGCGGGGCGGGGGGGGGGGAAGCGGAGAAGGGGGAGGGAAAGAGGGAGGACGGGGCAGCCUGCAGGGGCAGCAGCUACUGCCUUCUCUGCAUCUCGGUGGCCGGGGCUGGAAGGAAGCUGAAGCCGCAACCCCAAGUCAGCCCCCGCUGCCCCGUCCCACCGCCUCAUCUCUCCCCCCUCGGCAUUGCAAAUCAGCUUCUCUGGUCUUUACCUAUUACAGCCAUACCUAUCCACUUAAAUAUUCAACCAUCGGUUUAAACUCAGUUGUUCUGAAAUGGACUACUUUCUCCAGAAAACCUAUUUUAUUUGGGAGAAAAAUAAAUCACAAAGCUAGAAAAGGCA
rnacentral:lncRNA from 12 species